UUUAUGGAGAGUUUGAUCCUGGCUCAGAGUGAACGCUGGCGGCGUGCCUAAUACAUGCAAGUCGAACGAUGAAGCUUCUAGCUUGCUAGAAUGCUGAUUAGUGGCGCACGGGUGAGUAACGCAUAGGUUAUGUGCCUCUUAGUUUGGGAUAGCCAUUGGAAACGAUGAUUAAUACCAGAUACUCCCUACGGGGGAAAGAUUUAUCGCUAAGAGAUCAGCCUAUGUCCUAUCAGCUUGUUGGUAAGGUAAUGGCUUACCAAGGCUAUGACGGGUAUCCGGCCUGAGAGGGUGAACGGACACACUGGAACUGAGACACGGUCCAGACUCCUACGGGAGGCAGCAGUAGGGAAUAUUGCUCAAUGGGGGAAACCCUGAAGCAGCAACGCCGCGUGGAGGAUGAAGGUUUUAGGAUUGUAAACUCCUUUUGUUAGAGAAGAUAAUGACGGUAUCUAACGAAUAAGCACCGGCUAACUCCGUGCCAGCAGCCGCGGUAAUACGGAGGGUGCAAGCGUUACUCGGAAUCACUGGGCGUAAAGAGCGCGUAGGCGGGAUAGUCAGUCAGGUGUGAAAUCCUAUGGCUUAACCAUAGAACUGCAUUUGAAACUACUAUUCUAGAGUGUGGGAGAGGUAGGUGGAAUUCUUGGUGUAGGGGUAAAAUCCGUAGAGAUCAAGAGGAAUACUCAUUGCGAAGGCGACCUGCUAGAACAUUACUGACGCUGAUUGCGCGAAAGCGUGGGGAGCAAACAGGAUUAGAUACCCUGGUAGUCCACGCCCUAAACGAUGGAUGCUAGUUGUUGGAGGGCUUAGUCUCUCCAGUAAUGCAGCUAACGCAUUAAGCAUCCCGCCUGGGGAGUACGGUCGCAAGAUUAAAACUCAAAGGAAUAGACGGGGACCCGCACAAGCGGUGGAGCAUGUGGUUUAAUUCGAAGAUACACGAAGAACCUUACCUAGGCUUGACAUUGAGAGAAUCCGCUAGAAAUAGUGGAGUGUCUGGCUUGCCAGACCUUGAAAACAGGUGCUGCACGGCUGUCGUCAGCUCGUGUCGUGAGAUGUUGGGUUAAGUCCCGCAACGAGCGCAACCCCCUUUCUUAGUUGCUAACAGGUCAUGCUGAGAACUCUAAGGAUACUGCCUCCGUAAGGAGGAGGAAGGUGGGGACGACGUCAAGUCAUCAUGGCCCUUACGCCUAGGGCUACACACGUGCUACAAUGGGGUGCACAAAGAGAAGCAAUACUGCGAAGUGGAGCCAAUCUUCAAAACACCUCUCAGUUCGGAUUGUAGGCUGCAACUCGCCUGCAUGAAGCUGGAAUCGCUAGUAAUCGCAAAUCAGCCAUGUUGCGGUGAAUACGUUCCCGGGUCUUGUACUCACCGCCCGUCACACCAUGGGAGUUGUGUUUGCCUUAAGUCAGGAUGCUAAAUUGGCUACUGCCCACGGCACACACAGCGACUGGGGUGAAGUCGUAACAAGGUAACCGUAGGUGAACCUGCGGUUGGAUCACCUCCUUUCUAGA
rnacentral:rRNA from 1 species